rnacentral:rRNA from 1 species
GUGAACGCUGGCGGUAGGCCUAACCCAUGCAAGUCGAACGGCAGCACAGUAAGAGCUUGCUCUUACGGGUGGCGAGUGGCGGACGGGUGAGGAAUACAUCGGAAUCUACUUUUUCGUGGGGGAUAACGUAGGGAAACUUACGCUAAUACCGCAUACGACCUACGGGUGAAAGCAGGGGAUCUUCGGACCUUGCGCGAUUGAAUGAGCCGAUGUCGGAUUAGCUAGUUGGCGGGGUAAAGGCCCACCAAGGCGACGAUCCGUAGCUGGUCUGAGAGGAUGAUCAGCCACACUGGAACUGAGACACGGUCCAGACUCCUACGGGAGGCAGCAGUGGGGAAUAUUGGACAAUGGGCGCAAGCCUGAUCCAGCCAUACCGCGUGGGUGAAGAAGGCCUGCGGGUUGUAAAGCCCUUUUGUUGGGAAAGAAAAGCAGCAGGUUAAUACCCCGCUGUUCUGACGGUACCCAAAGAAUAAGCACCGGCUAACUUCGU